rnacentral:rRNA from 1 species
GACGAACGCUGGCGGCGUGCUUAACACAUGCAAGUCGAACGGUAAGGCUCCAGCUUGCUGGGGUACACGAGUGGCGAACGGGUGAGUAACACGUGGGUGACCUGCCCUGCACUUCGGGAUAAGCCUGGGAAACUGGGUCUAAUACCGGAUAGGACCAUGGUGUGGAUACUGUGGUGGAAAGUUUUUUCGGUGUGGGAUGGGCCCGCGGCCUAUCAGCUUGUUGGUGGGGUAAUGGCCUACCAAGGCGGCGACGGGUAGCCGGCCUGAGAGGGUGGACGGCCACCUUGGGACUGAGACACGGCCCAGACUCCUACGGGAGGCAGCAGUGGGGAAUAUUGCACAAUGGGCGGAAGCCUGAUGCAGCGACGCCGCGUGGGGGAUGACGGCCUUCGGGUUGUAAACUCCUUUCACCAUCGACGAAGGGUUUCUGACGGUAGAUGGAGAAGAAGCACCGGCUAACUACGUG